rnacentral:lncRNA from 1 species
GAAUGUUUUUCCCCAGUAAAGUCACUUGUUUGGAAUGCAGGACUUUGUAACCUUCAGUUAGUAGGACUAAGGUCCAACCAGUAAUCUUUGUAAGUGGUCCUGUUUGCUGUAUUUAAGUUGGCUUUAGUGAUAGCAUAGAAUAACCUUUCUACUGCUUCAGUAUAAACGGGCAAAAUUAAAGGUUUUUCCUCCUGGCUGUGCUUCAUGUUUUUGCCAACAGCCAUGAUUCGAGGUCAUCUGAUGAACUCUUGAACACUUGCUUCUCUUCUUCACCUGUGAGCUUCCAUGCUGCAGAAGCCAACUGGUUUUUCUCAAUCAACAUAAAAUCUUUGCACUCAUCUAAAGGACAUUAUAAAAAUAAGAUUCUAGGUGAUUCAUCAAU